UACAGAGGUCUCAACCGUUGUUCGGAUUCAUUGGGCGUAAAGGGUGCGCAGGCGGUAAAGUAAGUCAGUGGUGAAAUCCCUUCGCUCAACGAAGGAACUGCCAUUGAUACUGCUAUACUUGAAUAUAGUCGAAGUGGGCGGAAUGUGACAUGUAGCGGUGAAAUGCUUAGAUAUGUCACAGAACACCGAUAGCGAAGGCAGCUCACUAGACUAACAUUGACGCUCAUGCACGAAAGCGUGGGGAGCGAACAGG
rnacentral:rRNA from 1 species